rnacentral:miRNA from 1 species
UGUAACUUGUCGUGGGACGGG